UGCCAGCAGCCGCGGUAAUACGAACCGUACGAACGUUAUUCGGAAUCACUGGGCUUAAAGAGUGCGUAGGCGGCUUAGAAAGUUGGGUGUGAAAGCCCUCGGCUCAACCGAGGAAUUGCGUUUGAUACUACUUUGCUAGAGUCUCGGAGAGGUUGGCGGAAUUCCAGGUGUAGGAGUGAAAUCCGUAGAUAUCUGGAGGAACACCAGUGGCGAAGGCGGCCAACUGGACGAGUACUGACACUGAGGUACGAAAGCGUGGGGAGCAAACAGGAUUAGAUA
rnacentral:rRNA from 1 species